rnacentral:tRNA from 1 species
GCCUGGUUAGCUCAAUCGGUAGAGCGUGAGACUCUUACGGAGAUCACUUUCUCAGGAAACGAUUGAUUUAAGCAAUAUCUCAAGGUUGCGGGUUCGACCCCCGCAUCGGGCU